rnacentral:rRNA from 1 species
AGCUCGACACCUACGGGAAGCAGCAGUAGGGAAUCUUCCACAAUGGACGCAAGUCUGAUGGAGCAACGCCGCGUGAGUGAAGAAGGUCUUCGGAUCGUAAAACUCUGUUGUUAGAGAAGAACACGAGUGAGAGUAACUGUUCAUUCGAUGACGGUAUCUAACCAGCAAGUCACGGCUAACUACGUGUCAGCAGCCGCGGUAAUCUGAGCGGGCUGGCAAGGC